UGUUCUGUGGCUUAAUUGGUUGUAGUACCGGUCUUGCGAAUUAGGAAUCGUGGGUUCGAAUCCCACCAGAAUGA
rnacentral:tRNA from 1 species